UGAUAUAAUUCAACGGCCACGGUAUCCUAACCGUGCAAAGGUAGCAUAAUCACUUGUUCUUUAAAUGAGGACUCGUAUCAACGGCAUCACGAGGGUUACACUGUCUCCUUUUUCUAAUCAGUAAAAUUAAUCUCCCCGUGAAGAAGCGGAGAUACUAUUAUAAGACGAGAAGACCCCAUGGAGCUUCAAACCCAACUACACCCCUGAUUAUUAUAACCUUCUAAACCUCAAGGUCCUGCAUAGUUGGUUUUAGGUUGGGGCGACCACGGAGUAAAACAAAACCUCCACAAUGAAAGGAAUAUUUCCUCAUCUAAGAACUACAAUUCUAAGAACUAGUACACUAACAUUAAUGAUCCAUUCACAUGAUCAAUGAACCAAGUUACCCUGGGGAUAACAGCGCAAUCCACUUCAAGAGCUCCUAUCGACAAGUGGGUUUACGACCUCGAUGUUGGAUCAGGGUGUCCCAGUGGUGCAGCAGCUACUAACGGUUCGUUUGUUCAACGAUUAAAACCCUAC
rnacentral:rRNA from 1 species